CCUACGGGUGGCAGCAGUGAGGAAUAUUGGUCAAUGGGCGCGAGCCUGAACCAGCCAAGUAGCGUGAAGGAUGACUGCCCUAUGGGUUGUAAACUUCUUUUAUCAAGGAAUAAAGUGCGGCACGUGUGCCUCUUUGUAUGUACUUUACGAAUAAGGAUCGGCUAACUCCGUGCCAGCAGCCGCGGUAAUACGGAGGAUCCGAGCGUUAUCCGGAUUUAUUGGGUUUAAAGGGUGCGUAGGUGGGUUGUUAAGUCAGGUGUGAAAGUUCGCGGCUCAACCGUAAAAUUGCAAUUGAUACUGGCGGUCUUGAGUGCAGUUGAGGUAGGCGGAAUGCGUGGUGUAGCGGUGAAAUGCUUAGAUAUCACGAAGAACUCCGAUUGCGAAGGCAGCUUACUAAACUGCAACUGACAUUGAUGCUCGAAAGUGUGGGUAUCAAACAGGAUUAGAUACCCGAGUAGUC
rnacentral:rRNA from 1 species